rnacentral:piRNA from 1 species
UCUCUUCUGUGCAAGCCUGUGCCUCCCGA